GAGUCCUGGCGGCGAGGGGCGGGAGAGUAAUGCAUCGGAACGUGUCCCGUAAUGGGGGAUAACGCCGCGAAAGCGGCGCUAAUACCGCAUACGCUCUGAGGAGGAAAGUGGGGGACUUCCAAGGAGCCUCACGUUAGGGGAGCGGCCGAUGUCCGAUUAGCUAGUUGGUGGGGUAAUGGCUUACCAAGGCUUCGAUCGGUAGCUGGUCUGAGAGGAUGAUCAGCCACACUGGGACUGAGACACGGCCCAGACUCCUACGGGAGGCAGCAGUGGGGAAUUUUGGACAAUGGGGGCAACCCUGAUCCAGCCAUGCCGCGUGCGGGAAGAAGGUCUUCGGGUUGUACCCCGCUUUUAGCCGGGAAGAAAAGGCUUUUUUUUUUCCGGGGGUGGUUUUUGACGGUACCGGCGGAAUAACCACC
rnacentral:rRNA from 1 species